rnacentral:tRNA from 1 species
CGGGAAUUAGCUCAGUUUGGUAGCAGCGCUUGGUUUGGGACCAAGAGGUCGAAGGUUCAAAUCCUUCAUUCCCGACCA